rnacentral:lncRNA from 1 species
GGCAAUCUAGGGCGCCUUUGGGGCCGCUGCAGCUACCUGGGGGGACACUGGAGUGCGGUGGGAAGCGGUCUCUUCUACAGUGCCUGCAGUGAGAGGCCAAGGGGAAAUGGCCUUAAUCUGAGACAGGAGAUUCAGAUAUCAGGAAAAAAAUCAUAGAAUAUGCUGAGUUGGGAGGGACACACCGGGAUCAUCGAGACCAACACUUAGCCCUGCACGGGACAUUCAGACAAUCCCACCCUGUGCCUGAGAGCAUUGUCCAAACGCUCCUGGAGCUCUAGCAGCCUUGCAGUUAUGGCCAUUGCCUGGGGAGCCUGCUCAGUGUCCCAACACCCUCUGGAGGAAGAACCUUUUUCUGCUAUCCAACCUAACCCUCCCCUGACACAGCUCCAUGCUGUGACGAACACUUUGAUCAUCUCUUCAAGGCACCACUGCUGUCAGAGAUGGCACAGGGUUUACAAAGUUGGACAGUUUUUGACAAUGCUGAAAGGCUAAAGACUUGUGGUUUUGUUUGUUGUUGUUGUUGUUGUUGUUGUUGUUGUUGUAGAGAGGUUUGUGAGACCAUAAUCCCGGCUCCCCUCCACCAAAUGGGGCAGCAGCUGCAUCAGAAGCUUCGAAUCCCAGCCAAAUUGCCUCUUCAUACAGAUAGGAGAUCCAUCCUCGGGAUCAUCAGCCCGAGACGCGGGGUUGGAUUGGGUACGGUGCGAUCCUCUUCUUUUGUUUACUUCCGCAGGCCUUCGACAGCGUGGGUGGCAAUUCCUGGAGAAGAUGAACCCCCCUUACCGACGGAGCAGAGACGAGUGAGCCUGAGAACUGGUUGGUAUUUUCGGCAUCCCGAGAGCCGGUUGGAAUUUCGGCAUGUCCCGUCACGGGAAAAUCCAUAGACGUGGAUAUUGGGCAAUGAAAAUGCAGAAGCAUGUGAUUGUGUUGGACCAGGAGAAGACAAGUUUAAAUUCAGUGUUAUAUCUGAAGUGACUGCUGUUUAUGCACUUAACCUUGUGACGGAGUAAAAACAGUGCCAGGAGCAUGUUAUUACAUGAAAAUGUGUUUAUUCCCCUUUAAAAAUUUAUGAUCUGGCAAAGAGACCAUGAAAGAAAGAUGUGGGUAUUCCUCUGUCCUGAGUAUGAGUGCCAGCAGUUAGCACCCAAAGCAUAUGUGUCCCUUUUUCCCUUUGCUAGGAUAGCAGGAAUUUCAGGAUCUAGAAACUUGGUCCUGAAAACUGCUGAGUAAAUUCCAACUAGUGUUUACUGGAAUCCACUGGAGGGGUGAUCCCUGAGCCCACGUUUAACUGGUCUCUGGGAGCUGUAGCCUGUUGGAGGCCCCAAUCCUGGAGGCUUCAUAGCUCUUUCAACUCUUGGUAACUUUGAUUUGCGUUAAGGGUCACUCAGUACCUCGUGGGAGGAGGCCCUGACUACUUUCAACUUUUAGAAUUAAUGGUUUUGAUCUUGAGAAUCUGGCCUGGGAGAUUUUAAUUUGAAUUUGCUGGUUUUAGCUUGAACUUGAAACUGACUUAAAUGGGUUUUGUGCCCUCAGUACUGGAUGUUAGUGUGUUAGAACCUUCCCUUCGUUGGUCUUGCAGGUGCAAGGCAGUCCUUUUUCUUAGGCAACUGUAUGCAGUGGACUGAGAUCAGGGGUUAAUUUGGCCAGGGAUAAUUGAAAUAAUAAAUAAAAUAAACCAAACCAAACCAAAACAUAAAGCAAAAUUUUGAGUUUGGAAUAGCUUCUCAGAUUCUGAAAAUAAUUGAAGUAAUCCAGAAGAAAAUAUACCAUGAAAUCUGUUUUCCAUUAUUGCAUGACAUAAUGUGUCUUAACAUUUGAUCAAAUCCAUUUUUCAUGAUGAAGAUAAUGCCACUUAAAGUGAUGUAGAGAUCUGGGGUCUUUUUCAGUGUAGAAUUACAAAUUAUUGUAGGCUUGACCUUCUCAUUUGUUUAUUUAUUUAUUGAUGAUUCACUGUUCCUGUCAUGAUUUCACAGCAAGUAAAAAUAAUUUCUGAUUGAUUUCUAGCUGCUAGUAGUAUUUUUGAAAGAUGUCUUAGCAAAAGCUCAUUGAUGUGUUUGUGCCUGCUAGCUUUCUUAUCCAGACCCAGUCUCUUGUAUAUAAUCAAGGUGCAGUUGGAGAAACUUGAUGUCCUGUCUUGCAUUCUAUUUAAGAAAAAGUGCAGUCAUUUGUGUGAAGUCCUAUGCUCAUAUUUAUCAGUGGGUUUUGUGAGAUCCCUCGACAAAGUCAAGAUCAAAGGACAAGGACAGUCCAUUCUUUUUGCUUUAAAGGAAUGCAUUGCCAGCUUCAGUGGCUCCUGAAUGGGAUGACUAUGUUAUGAAUAAGAAGCUUGACUGGGCCAAUAUUCAAGCAGCAAUCAAUUUAUUAUUUAAUAUGGUAAAGUAUGAGCAAUACAGCGCUGGGUACAGUGGGGGAAGUUUUCCCUCCAACUGCACACCAAUAAUUGAAGAUUACAGGUAUUUAUAGGGGUACUCAUCAGCUUUUUCAGCAGUUUCUAUUUCCAACUUUUUUAUUAAUCAGCAAUAUUUAUUCCUAAUUAUUACAUCACAAUUCAAUACACUAUUGUGAUUUAGUUUUUCUCAGGAUGUGUUUUUAAAGGAGUAUCCCCAGAUGGUGGUGGUCCAGUUUCCGACCGAAGGAAGGCGAAUCCCAUCUGGUGCAGUCCAGCUCCCCAGAUGUGGGUCCACCCUUUUAAUUGCAGAGACUAUAAAUCUAAUAACAGUGAUGUCCAGCUUCCCUUGGUCGAAACCAUAAACCCUGGAGGUGCUGGUCAUUUUCCUCUCUCAAGCUGUUUUUCUUUGCUUCAAUAGGGUGUGAGAUAAGCAUAUUUCCUUUAUAUAUUUUCCGAAGCUAUAGUUUCAAGGAUAUAAGUAAUAUUCUAAAAUUAUACUUCAAAAGGUUAUUGUUGCAGAGCUCUUUAUUGAUUAACUAUAAGCAAAAAGCAACAUCUUUAACGCUUUAAUUCCAAUGCUCCUAAAUCAACUAGGGUUAAUUUCAAAGGCCUUUUUCCAUGCUUCAUUUUCCUCAGUUAUUAUUCAAAUUCACAGCUCUCCCACCGUCGGUGCACUCACAAAUACACACGUCACCUGUUUGUACCUGACAUGAAACACAGCUUUGUAUUUCGCAACUGUGAGCAAUAACACAAGGAGUUCAGUAUGGGGAAUAGCUGAGCACAUCCAUGAGUAAGUGGGACCAGAGGAAUUUAUUGCCAGGGCUGUCAGUUUUGCUGUCUAGGGGCAAACGUGCUCCCCUUGCUGGUUUUGCAUUCCUAUUCCCACACCAUCAGUCAAUCCCCAUCCCUCUGUAGUUUUUAUCCUCUUCGUAUCUUCACUGAGGGAUGUCCUUACUCCUCAGAGAGAAUUCUUUGGAGACUACAUUUAUCCUCCACAGGGAUGAAAUCAUAGUCUGCUGUGUCUCACCAGGAUUCAGCAAGGGCCAUCUCAGAUUAUGGAUGGAAUUCACCAGGAAUAGGGUCAAAAAGAGGGCUGCUUUGUGUUUUCUUCCUUGGUAAUACAGGGGAUUCAUCCUCAGAGAAUUUAUGGAAUGGUCAGUUGGUCAAAUAAGAGUGUUCUGGGUGUUCACAGGAAUAAGUUACUGUGGUAAAUAGGUAUGAUUCGUGCUUAUAAAAUUGAAACAAUAAUUAAUAUUGAUACAGUAAUUAAUAUUUUGGAAAUAAUAAAACAGUUUAAAAGUUGAAAUGCCAAAAAGAAAAGCAAGAGGAGGGGCUCUACCCCCCCCUUCCCUGCAGAUGUUCAGGGAUAGGAGGAAAUAGCAAGAGAUAACGGUUACCAAAAUUAACAAAAAGAAGGGAAAAUCUGGUUGGGUCCCAAGAAAAUGCUAAUUAUAAGAGGUUUAUUGCUUUGAUGCUAAAAUGUAUAAAAUGUUAGUUUUGGCUUACAUUGUACUGGCUUGGUGCGCAUGUGUAACCUAAAGGUGAAUUAAAGGACAAAAGAGGAAAAGGAGAGCCUUCAUCAUGACGACCCCCAGAGACUUGUGCGACCACCAAAACGAGUGAUGGAGCAUGCGUGGUAAAGGUGGUGAUGAGGGCAGAGGUAGAAGUGUGAUGAAUCGAAAAUGGGAGGAGAUGAUAUUGACACCUGGCUUAUAAGGGGUGAAUCUUCCCUUGGCAAGCUCGUACGUGAGGUGGCCGGGGUCCAAGAGCCCUGCACUCCAUACCCUGCGGUUAUCCUUUGCUUAUGCGCUAUUAUCUGAACCAAAUUAUCCCUUAUUUUAAUCAAAUUAUAUUGGCAAUAUGUAUUUUCUAAACUAUUCAAUUAAAAUUGCUGCUAUUUUAAAUAUUGUUUGGUUUUUUUAUGAUGGGAUAGUUGGGCAAACAUAACAUUACUAACUGGCAGGGGUGGUUUGUUUACAUCCUCCAUAAGGAUCCCAUGGAAGAGAUUUAAUCCUGGAUCUGGAUAUUUGAUUGUGAGUAGCUCUUGGGAUAUCUGUUGGAGUGUUUGUAGUCCAUAUGCAGUCAGCUGUGGGAUCCUAUGAUAACGAUGUUUUAAGAUAAAGUACAUAAAUGAGCUUUUCCAGCCCACCAAAGUGAACAUCCCAAAGUGUUCAGCUAAUGGCCCAGUACAACAGUUCUGAUGUUGCUGAAAACAAGUCCCAGUCUGUUCAAAUUGAUUCUAAGGCAACAGGAAACACAGAAAGUCAUGCAAGGGCCUUGUUUGAAUGGAGCCAGC